rnacentral:rRNA from 1 species
AACGAACGCUGGCGGCAUGCCUAACACAUGCAAGUCGAACGAGACCUUCGGGUCUAGUGGCGCACGGGUGCGUAACGCGUGGGAAUCUGCCCUUGGGUUCGGAAUAACAGUUAGAAAUGACUGCUAAUACCGGAUAAUGUCUUCGGACCAAAGAUUUAUCGCCCAGGGAUGAGCCCGCGUAGGAUUAGCUAGUUGGUGAGGUAAAGGCUCACCAAGGCGACGAUCCUUAGCUGGUCUGAGAGGAUGAUCAGCCACACUGGGACUGAGACACGGCCCAGACUCCUACGGGAGGCAGCAGUGGGGAAUAUUGCACAAUGGGCGAAAGCCUGAUGCAGCAAUGCCGCGUGUGUGAAGAAGGCCUGCGGGUUGUAAAGCACUUCGGUAGGGAAGGAUAAUGACGGUAUCUACAGAAGAAGACACCGGCGUAACUCCGUGCCAGCAGCCGCGGUAAU